UACGGAGGGUGCAAGCGUUGCUCGGAAUUAUUGGGCGUAAAGUGUGCGCAGGCGGCAGAGCAAGUCGAGUGUGAAAGCCCCGAGCUUAACUUGGGAAUUGCGCUCGAAACUACUUUGCUGGAGUGUGGCAGAGGAAGGUGGAAUUCCAGGUGUAGCGGUGAAAUGCGUAGAGAUCUGGAGGAACACCGAUGGCGAAGGCAGCCUUCUGGGCCAACACUGACGCUCAUGCACGAAAGCGUGGGGAGCAAACAGG
rnacentral:rRNA from 1 species